GUCUCUUCGGAGACAUCUGAUAAAAUUGGAACGAUACAGAGAAGAUUAGCAUGGCCCCUACGCAAAUGAAAUGCAAUACCUUGUCAAAAGUCAUGCCUAA
rfam:Beta vulgaris subsp. vulgaris chromosome 6, whole genome shotgun sequence.